rnacentral:rRNA from 1 species
UACAGAGGCCUCGAGCGUUAGGCGGAAUCACUGGGCUUAGAGCGUGUGUAGGCGGACUUCUAAGUACCUUGUGAAAUCCCACGGCUCACCCGUGGAACUGCUGGGGUAUACUGGUCGUCUUGAGCCUUCUAGGGGCUACCGGAACAAAUGGUGGAGCGGUGAAAUGCGUAGAUAUCAUUUGGAACGCCAAUGGUGAAAAACAGGUAGCUGGGGGAAGUGCUGACGCUGAGACACGAAAGCCAGGGGAGCGAACGGG